rnacentral:rRNA from 1 species
ACUCGGAAGGAUCAUUAUUGAAUUUUGAAUGGGGUUGUAGCUGGCCUUUCAAAGGGCAUGUGCACGCCUCGCUUCAAUCCACUUACCCCUGUGAACACUCUGUAGGUCGGCUCAAGGGACAAAUCCUUAACGGGGUUUGUUUUGGGCCUUCCUAUGUUUUAUUACAAACGUUUAAAGUCUAAAGAAUGUACUCGCGUCUAACGCAUUAUAUACAACUUUCAGCAACGGAUCUCUUGGCUCUCGCAUCGAUGAAGAACGCAGCGAAAUGCGAUAAGUAAUGUGAAUUGCAGAAUUCAGUGAAUCAUCGAAUCUUUGAACGCACCUUGCGCUCCUUGGUAUUCCGAGGAGCAUGCCUGUUUGAGUGUCAUGGAAUUAUCAACUUGUUUAUCUUUGUAUGAACGCAGUUGGAUUUGGAGGCCAUUGCCGGAUUGUAAUGACUCGGCUCCUCUUGAAUGCAUUAGCUCGAACCUUUGCGGAUCAGCUUUUGGUGUGAUAAUUGUCUACGCCGCUAACUGAGACGCAUGAAUGGGAUUGGCUUACAGUCGUCCUUGAACGGACAAUUUAUUAUGACUUCUGACCUCAAAUCAGGUAGGAUUACCCGCUGAACUUAAGCAUAUC